AACAAAAAAAAAACAUCAAAAACCACCUAUACGGCGAUACGUGUUCGAUUCUGGAUGGCUUCAUAGCCGUGAUCUGGUGGUCGCCGGCUCGCCGAUCUCUGCUCCCGCGGCGGCGCCAUUGCUAGCGCCCCGUCGGCCGGCACCCUCCUCUCCGCCUCCGCCCCCACGCUCCGAAUCCAUGGAUGGCUACCACCGCACACUCCGCCCCCCGCACUCCAGCCGCCCUCCGCGCUCUUGCCCUUCCCCCCACCGGAGAAGGCGGCAACACUGCAAGCUAGGUAGCAGCGACGACCUUGCUACCGGCUCGCCUCAUCAGCCAUAGCGGCAGCCUCCCGAUCCCCCCAGGGUGAGCAUCCGAUCUUCGAUUUAAAUUAUUAUCACGGAUGAACGGCGACUGCCUGAUAGCUUCUUCAGUGAACUGAUAUUUCUCUUUAUAAAGCCGAACAGUUUCUGCAUGAGCAAGUAGUUGGUGAUGGCAUGCAGUGUAAGGCUCCCUUCCUGAAUCUCCAACUCUGCAUUUUCCCUUCUCCCAGGAUGAACACCGGCCUGGUGCCAUGGUGCCAGAUGCAUAGCCCAUAGAGCAGAAGUUCCAAGGCUCAUUGAAGUAGCUGAAAAGACUAUCACAAGGGAGCACUAUUGAGGCUGGUGUCAGUGGAAACAGGGGUUAAAUCCUGUCCAAAGCAAAACCCGUCCUGACUCCCUUUCCAAAAAUAGCAGUAAACAAUAUUCGCGACAAAAAUCGGAAAGAGAACUCCAAAAGCUGUUGGCAUUGAAAUUUCGGGUAUUCUAAUUGAUAUGCAUGAUGACGUUGACAAUAUUUUUAACUGAAGUAGGUAGCACGGUCCCUAGUAUUUUGAAGUUAGUGUUUAUUUAACAUGGUCAGCAAAAGGUACUGAAGAAUUGUUGACUUACAUGAUAUUAGGGCUAAGAAAUCCUUUAUAUUUAUCUUCCAGUGCCUGAGGUGUAUCAAAAUGGAAUAGGGUAGCAAAUGGUUGGACCUCUGCAAAUGUAUAAGAUUAUUUUGCAUCUUGAAUAAAGAAAUCUGGUUGUCACAAGUUGCAUCUAGUGACUGAACUUGAAACUAAAUAGUGAAGACUAGACAUGCAUACCUUUUGAUAAUAGUUCAUUGAUCAAAUUGUUGUAGUAGUUGAUGCCUUCUCUGUUGACUCCACCGCUGAGACUUCCAUCUGCCAUGACAGGGAGAUUUUAACCCUGGUGGGAUCACCUUGGAGAUUGAAAAAGAAAUGCAGAAUAUUGUGCUUGAGAACAAAAGAGAAAAUGUCUUUAAAUAAGCUGUCUGUUAGUAAAUCUAUGACAGUGCAUUGUAUCUACUACCUCCAUCCCAAAAUAUUUGGGAUUUAUAUGGGCAAAAUCCCUUAUAUUUUGGGACGGAUGUAUUAUCAUUUUAUUUCUAAAAGAUAUAGUCAUGUACUUGGAAGAAUUCUUGACCACGAGAUGGAAAACCUGUAUGCAUCCAUUCCCAUCUCCUUCAUAAUGCGCACAUCUUCCUGCAAUUUUUUUUGGUGAUCAGGCCCUCAGGCCUCAGGAUGAGUACUAAAUUAGUCAUUUUAAAGAAGAGAAUUAAAGUUUUAAGAGAUUGUGGCAGAGGAAGACUGGCAAACAUGGAGUGUAUAUUUAAUUAAAACCCUUACUCCCUCCAUUCCUAAAUGAUCUUCGCAUUACCAAAAGUAAAAAGUUUCAAUUUGACCUUCGUAUUUCAUUAGGAAGCAGCAGAAAUCAUGGGUAGACGAUAAUGGUGCUUCGUAUUAAGCAGCACUACAUGCAUGCAUUGGCUCUGUGAGAGUUAAGUUGGGAGCUGCUGCAUGCGUGGAAUUAAUGCAUUAUAGCUGAUUGGCUGGUGCAUGCGGCAUGCAAAAUUGAUGAAGCGACAUGCACGGAUAGAUGGGAUAGUAACUGCUCCUUGGUCUUGCUGCUUAGGUGAAAUAUGAAGAUCAUUUAGGAAUGGAGGGAGUACUAAAGUCAAUGCUAGUUGCCAAUACCUUGUAGAGAUGGUAGCUAUUGCAAGCACCAUCCCCGUUGCUCUUGUCGGUGAUUUUGUCUGCCAAAUUAGAGAAUUGUCAAUCCAAAAUAAUGUAAUGACCUUUUAUUUCUGGCCAUUUAUAGUCAGCAUGCCUGGAUACUGAUGUGUGAAGGUGUCCCAGAUGCUUGGUCCUCUGCCACCCUUCGCCGCGGCACCCUCAAACUGCAUCAUGUGUGAAACAGCAGUCAAUUUGUCAGGUUUCAGAUCUGAAACAGAGCACAUCGUGAUGAGAUGAGAAGGAAUCAGGAAACAGUUAAAUUGACUACUGAAUACAGUAUUGGAUCAUGGAAUUUCUCUCUACAUGCAAAUAUGAGCAUUAUUCUUAUUCUUUAGAGAAAUUUCAGCAUUUUUCAGUGCCAUCAUUUUCUGGUUACCUACAUCAAUGAGGUACUCUAGUUGCACAAUUUAUCUUAACCUGUUCCUUUUUCAUGUGUUUCAUUUGUACAUUCUGUUCGUACUUUUGUUUCCCCUUCGAAAAGAACAGUCUGUUCCGACUGUUGUCCUUGCAGAAUUUACUUUCGGUGGCAGUUUUAUGAAAUUCUUCUCGAUUUCUUGUAGGAAGGAUGAGGUUGGAUGCCUGACCUGAUAUGACGACGAGGACGUCCCAAAGAUGAACCCCUUGGGGAAGCUUCUCCGGCUGAUCGGCGGCAGCUCGCCGGCGUCAUUGUAGGCGGCGCAGGUGAAAGCCAAGAGGAGAAGGAGCACGCCACCUGACAUCACCAUUGCACCUGCAACCGCCAUGACCUACAUAGACAGAAAAGAGUGAUGGGCUGAUGAACACAAACGGUGCCCAACAUAUAGCCUCUCGUACAUAGGGACUUGCUUAAUACCAUAUCAGGAUAUGUGUUUGGACUUGUGGACAAGGUGGGGAUAAUGGUUUUUCAGAGUGGUGACCACCCUGACAAAACACUAUCAACACACCCAUCAGUAGUCAGUGGGAGUACACUGUUUCCAUCCCAUAAUAAGUUUAUUUUUGAUUUCUCUCAUUUAUCUCAAAAUAAAUUCAUUUUGAGUAAUUAUUGUAACAGAGUUUGUGAAAGGAGGAAAUAAUUGCAUUAGGAGUAAUAAAGUAGGAAAUAAUUGUAUUAAGAUUAGAUAAAAUAGGGGUAUUCUAGUUUCUUUUGUUUGUA